rnacentral:lncRNA from 1 species
CGGCACCUCCAAGGAGCUCAUCGACAAGAGCACCAAGAUGUCCUUCGCCGGCACCGUGGCCUGGAUGGCGCCCGAGGUGAUCCGCAACGAGCCCGUCUCCGAGAAGGUCGACAUCUGGACGUGGACUCCUCGGCCAUCAUUUGGGGUGUGGGCAGCAACAGCCUCCACCUGCCCGUCCCCUCCGGCUGCCCCGACGGCUUCAAGGUGCUGCUGCGCCAGUGCUGGUGAGUGCGCCCGGGGGGGGGACACCCCAUGGGGACACCCCGUGGGGACACCCCGUGGGGACACCCCGUGGGGACAGGGACGAGCCAUGGGGACAUCCCACGGGGACCCUGAAUGGGGACUCCCCAUUGGGACAUCCCACAGGGACACCCCGUGGGGACACCCCAUGGGCACAGGGACGCACCAUGGGGACAUCCCAUGGGGACACCCCAUGGGGACCCUGCAUGGGGACACCCCAUGGGGACACCCUGUGGGGACACACUGUGGGCACAGGGGUACUUUAUG